CCCAGACUCCUACGGGAGGCAGCAGUGGGGGAUAUUGCACAAUGGGGGGAACCCUGAUGCAGCGACGCCGCGUGGGUGAAGGAGCGUUUCGGCGCGUAAAGCCCUAUCGGCAGGGAAGAAGGAGGACGGUACCUGACUAAGAAGCCCCGGCUAACUACGUGCCAGCAGCCGCGGUAAUACGUAGGGGGCAAGCGUUAUCCGGAUUUACUGGGUGUAAAGGGGGCGCAGACGGCAGCGCAAGCCAGGAGUGAAAGCCCGGGGCCCAACCCCGGGACUGCUCUUGGAACUGCGCGGCUGGAGUGCAGGAGGGGCAGGCGGAAUUCCUGGUGUAGCGGUGAAAUGCGUAGAUAUCAGGAGGAACACCGGUGGCGAAGGCGGCCUGCUGGACUGCGACUGACGUUGGGGCCCGAAAGCGUGGGGAGCAAACAGGAUUAGAUACCCUUGUAA
rnacentral:rRNA from 1 species